GAUGAAGAACGUAGUGAAAUGCGAUAAGUAGUGUGAAUUGCAGAAUUCAGUGAAUCAUCGAAUCUUUGAACGCACAUUGCGCCCUUUGGUAUUCCAAAGGGCAUGCCUGUUCGAGCGUCAUUUGUACCCUCAAGCUUUGCUUGGUGUUGGGCGUCUUGUCUCCAGUUCGCUGGAGACUCGCCUUAAAGUAAUUGGCAGCCGGCCUACUGGUUUCGGAGCGCAGCACAAGUCGCGCUCUCUUCCAGCCAAGGUCAGCAUCCACAAAGCCUUUUUUCAACUUUUGACCUCGGAUCAGGUAGGGAUACCCGCUGAACUUAAGCAUAUCAAUAAGCGGAGGA
rnacentral:misc_RNA from 1 species